AGAGUUUGAUCCUGGCUCAGGAUGAACGCUGGCGGCGUGCCUAACACAUGCAAGUCGAACGAAGCUUGACGGUGGAACUCUUCGGAGGGAAACCUGAUAUGACUUAGUGGCGGACGGGUGAGUAACACGUGAGCAACCUGCCUUUCAGAGGGGGACAACGACUGGAAACGGUCGCUAAUACCGCAUGAUAUGUUCGGAUGGCAUCAUCUGAACAUCAAAGAUUUAUCGCUGAAAGAUGGGCUCGCGUCUGAUUAGAUAGUUGGUGAGGUAACGGCUCACCAAGUCGACGAUCAGUAGCCGGACUGAGAGGUUGAACGGCCACAUUGGGACUGAGAUACGGCCCAGACUCCUACGGGAGGCAGCAGUGGGGAAUAUUGCACAAUGGGGGAAACCCUGAUGCAGCAAUGCCGCGUGAGUGAAGAAGGCCUUCGGGUUGUAAAGCUCUUUUGCCAGGGAAGAAAAGGCGACGGUUAAGAGCUGUUGCUGCUGACGGUACCUGGAGAAUAAGCACCGGCUAACUACGUGCCAGCAGCCGCGGUAAUACGUAGGGUGCAAGCGUUAAUCGGAAUUACUGGGCGUAAAGCGCACGCAGGCGGUUUGUUAAGUCAGAUGUGAAAUCCCCGGACUCAACCUGGGAACUGCAUCUGAUACUGGCAAGCUUGAGUCUCGUAGAGGGGGGUAGAAUUCCAGGUGUAGCGGUGAAAUGCGUAGAUAUUAGGAGGAACACCAGUGGCGAAGGCGGAUUGCUGGACGAUAACUGACGGUGAGGCGCGAAAGUGUGGGGAGCAAACAGGAUUAGAUACCCUGGUAGUCCACACUGUAAACGAUGAAUACUAGGUGUGCGGGGACUGCCCCCCUGCGUGCCGCAGUAAACACAAUA
rnacentral:rRNA from 1 species